UCUUAUGGAUGAACGAAGAAAGUGGUUUCCAGAGAAGGAACCUAUUCCUGAUGAAGAUACUGUGAC
rnacentral:pre_miRNA from 1 species